rnacentral:rRNA from 1 species
AGAGUUUGAUCCUGGCUCAGGAUGAACGCUGGCGGCGUGCCUAACACAUGCAAGUCGAACGAAGCACUUUUACUCGAUUCUUCGGAUGAUGGUAAUAGUGACUGAGUGGCGGACGGGUGAGUAACGCGUGGGUAACCUGCCUCAUACAGGGGGAUAACAGUUAGAAAUGACUGCUCAUCACCCGCAUAAUGACCACGGAGUCGCAUGACUCAGUGGGAAAAACUCCGGUGGUAUGAGAUGGACCCGCGUCUGAUUAGGUAGUUGGUGGGGUAACGGCCUACCAAGCCGACGAUCAGUAGCCGACCUGAGAGGGUGACCGGCCACAUUGGGACUGAGACACGGCCCAAACUCCUACGGGAGGCAGCAGUGGGGAAUAUUGCACAAUGGGGGAAACCCUGAUGCAGCGACGCCGCGUGAGCGAAGAAGUAUUUCGGUAUGUAAAGCUCUAUCAGCAGGGAAGAAAAUGACGGUACCUGACUAAGAAGCACCGGCUAAAUACGUGCCAGCAGCCGCGGUAAUACGUAUGGUGCAAGCGUUAUCCGGAUUUACUGGGUGUAAAGGGAGCGUAGACGGCUGUGUAAGUCUGAAGUGAAAGCCCGGGGCUCAACCCCGGGACUGCUUUGGAAACUAUGCAGCUAGAGUGUCGGAGAGGUAAGUGGAAUUCCCAGUGUAGCGGUGAAAUGCGUAGAUAUUGGGAGGAACACCAGUGGCGAAGGCGGCUUACUGGACGAUGACUGACGUUGAGGCUCGAAAGCGUGGGGAGCAAACAGGAUUAGAUACCCUGGUAGUCCACGCCGUAAACGAUGACUAUUAGGUGUCGGGUGUCACAGACAUUCGGUGCCGCAGCAAACGCAAU